ensembl:lncRNA
CUCCCACCUUGGGCCCAUAUCUAGCUGGUGUGGGUAACAAACCCCUGCUUCUGAUCCUCCCACCCGAUCCCCUUUACUCCAUGCUCCAGCCAGUCAAGGCCACUUGCUCUUCCUCUAAACAAGCCUGGCCUUUCUGUGUCUCUUCUGAAGCUGCUGGCUCUACCAGGAACGCAGCCCCCGCCCCUCCCUCUCCCCCAGAGGAGAUCUUACCCAUCCUACGAGGCCCAGCUCAAAUGCCACCACCUCCAUGAAGCCUCCUCGGGGUCCUGUGCUGGAGAGGACUGCCGCCACCAGCACAGGUCAGCUAUCCCACUCUCCACGUGUCAUGUGUCCGUGCAACAAGUGGACAUGGAACAUCUGCUGUGCACCAGACACUGUGUGGGGCCUAGGCCACAGAGGUCACCAAGACGGACAAAGAGCCUGCUCCCCACCCAGCCCAGCUGGGAGGCUGUCAGUUCCUAGAAUUCAGCCCGAAGCCUGUAGGAUUCCAUCCCAGAGACAGUGAUCAUCUCCUUUUUGGGGGGAAAACUGGGGAAAUAAUCAGGACAGAAGACACCCAGGCCUCUCAGCUUAGUGUGCCUGUACUGCCGAGAGAGCUGGAGGCUGGCCAGUCCGGACGUCCAGGACAGUCAGCCCCGCGGGUGGCGGAGGCCCAAGCCACCCAGGGCUUCUGAGGCUUCCGGCUAAGAGGCUGCGUCUGGACCUGCUGAAGGAGGGAGGGAGAGGCACGACCAGAUCUGGAAGCUCCAGGUAAAGGAGGGCUGCCUGCCAGGCUUCUGAAGAGUCUGCACGGAACAUUAAGGAGGGAUGGCUUAAAUACUCGUACACGGUGCUGGCGGCAGGCGGACUCCACCUGUCCCCUGGGGAACCAGUGAGGGUCCAGUGGGAGAGUCUCUGCCCACCGAGGGUCACUCAGAAAUGAGCCCCCACAUCGCUGGGAAAAUUGGACUCCAUUUACACAAGUUCAGUUCCCACCCACCUUUCCAGGGGUGCAUUUGCAAGGGGAGCUCCCCCGGGGGGGCUGCCAGCAUCACUGCAGCCCCAUGAAAGGCACUAAAUGGAUGCUCUUUGAGCCUUGUCCAUCUCUCCAGCUCCCUGUCGGCUGAUGAGCUCACGGGAUGAAGGCGCGGAGGGCGGGCUGUUUUAGAAUCCCCCUGCUGCCAUUUCCCUUCUAGGACUCCUCUCUUUCCUUGGGGGCUCCUAGCAAAUUGAAGAGAGAUCCUUGCACCGUGCCCUCCGCAAACACCUCUAAGGAAGCUCAUUCCUGCUCCUGGCACCUGCCUUUCCUCCUCCGUACCCAGCACUUUCUCAGUGGCAACUCGUGUGAAACUCAGUUUCUCCCUCUGUAUAACGGGCAUGUAAAAUGGUAGUUUAUUUCCCAGCGUUCUCUUGAGGAUUACUGCAUAUAAAGUGCUUACCCCAGGGUGUUGUCCUCAAAAAAGGGUAGCGAUCGCUUUUAUAUCCUUUUCUCCUUGGGAUUUCCUCUGGUCUUCUCUCACCAAUUGGACUGCAUCUGGGCACCUGUGUUUUGUCAUUUCCCCAUGGAGGCCACCCGCAGCCCCUCGACCCAUUAUCUAGCCACCCCACGGACUCCCUUUCCCAGGGCACCCGGCCUGGGCAUCGGGUAAAGAAUGUAGCCAUUGCCUCGGCUCCCCUAUGAGGUCCCAGUUGGUUUGUGCCAAGAUGCGAGGCUGUUCCCCGACUCAUGCUGUCCCCUCAGAUGGCACAGAGACGCCAUGUGGGCUGAGGGCACUGGACAAGGAGACGAGGCCCCGAGGUCCGAGUGCCAGUUGUGCACCCACUCCAUGUGGGCCCCAGACUGGGACCCUGCUCUCACAUACUGCUGUGCUCAUCUCUCGGGCCUGGCACACGACACAACUGGCGGGAUGUAAAGACUGGUGGGCUGCUGGCUUAGUGUCUGUCUUUGCCCCGGGGGUGGGGACCAAAGCUGUCCUGUCCCUUGGUGUGUCCCCGGCAAGAAGAACAGCGGCUGAAACAGCUCUUAAAGAACAGCAAGAGCGAACACAAACUGAGCAGUUCCUGUCUACGGGGCAUCUUCCACCUGCUCGUCACGCUUUAGCUCAGGUGACCCCCAGCAUGACCCUGUGACGCAGGCGUGACUAUUGUCCCCAUUUUGCAGAUGAGGAAACUGAGGCCCAGAGUGGUUCCAUCCUUUGCCCCGGGAGAUACCCUUGUGAGCGCUGGAGCUGGGAUUCGGACUCUGGCUUUGGAGAUGGAUCUCUUAACCACAGGCCUUCUCAUCCCCUCAGUACUAGAUUGCAGAAGGAACAAAUGAAUGACCUGGAGAGGGUCACCUCCCAACCCUACCUGGGUCUUGGUGCCUUUACCUAACGACAUGAAGAGAGUCGGCACAUUGGAGGCAACUCCCACCUGGAAAGCAUCUCAAAUGGAACAGAGGGGACACACAGAGAGGCCUCACGAUGGAUCUCAUGGGACAACUUACUGCAGGAGAACCUCGGGAGAGGCUGGCUGUGUCCCUCUUCUUGGAAAGACUCCAGUGGGGCAAAGACAGCUGAAGAUUCCCAGGGAAUGAGCCAGAUGAAGAAGCUGGGUCUGGGGUACAGAGCUCCCUACUGCCCCCUAGCUUUAAGGAACAGGGUUCAGAAGUCCCUGACACUUAUGGCAAACUGUUACUAAGUGGGAAACUGGCUAAGCUAUUGACAUGGAUUCUCACACUGAUUCCUCAUGACCCCAUAAGUGAUUUUUUUUUUUAACAGAUGAUCUGGGUGAACAUAAGAGAGGUUAAGAAACUUGCCCAAGGUCACAACGCUAAUAAAUGGCAUCUUUGGGACUCG